rnacentral:tRNA from 1 species
GGAGCGGUGGCGGAGAGGCCGAUCGCGCCGGUCUUGAAAACCGGAAGUCGUAAGACUCGGGGGUUCGAAUCCCUCCCGCUCCG